GACGAACGCUGGCGGCGUGCUUAACACAUGCAAGUCGAACGGAAAGGCCCUGCUUUGGUGGGGUGCUCGAGUGGCGAACGGGUGAGUAACACGUGAGUAACCUGCCCUUGCCUUUGGGAUAACUUCAGGAAACUGGGGCUAAUACCGGAUAGGAGCUCCUGCUGCAUGGUGGGGGUUGGAAAGUUUCGGCGGUUGGGGAUGGACUCGCGGCUUAUCAGCUUGUUGGUGGGGUAGUGGCUUACCAAGGCUUUGACGGGUAGCCGGCCUGAGAGGGUGACCGGCCACAUUGGGACUGAGAUACGGCCCAGACUCCUACGGGAGGCAGCAGUGCGGUAUAGUGCACAAUGGGCGGAAGCCUGAUGCAGCAACGCCGCGUGCGGGAUGACGGCCUUCGGGUUGUAUUCCGCUUUCGCCUGUGACGAAGCGUGAGUGACGGUAAUGGGUAAAGAAGCACCGGCUAACUACGUG
rnacentral:rRNA from 1 species